CCGCGGUAUUUUGACCGUGCUAAGGUAGCAUAAUCAUUAGUUUUUUAAUUGAAAGCUGGAAUGAAGGGUUGGAUGAAAAAAAAACUGUCUCUAUUUAAAAUUAAAAUUUUAUUUUUAAGUUAAAAAGCUUAAAUUUUUUUAAAAGACGAGAAGACCCUAUAGAGUUUUAUAAAUUAAGAGAUUUAAAUAUUUAGAAUUUUAUUAUUUAAAUUAAUUUGUUUAUUUAAUUGGGGUGAUUAAAAAAUUUAAAGAACUUUUUUUAUUAGUACAUAUAUAUAUAAAUAGAUAUUUGAGCCAUUUUUAAUGAUUAUAAGAUUAAAUUACCUUAGGGAUAACAGCGUAAUUUUAUUGGAGAGUU
rnacentral:rRNA from 1 species